GACGAACGCUGGCGGCAUGCCUAACACAUGCAAGUCGAACGGAGCCAUCUAAACAAUCCCUUCGGGGUGCGUUUGGGGAAGCUUAGUGGCGGACGGGUGAGUAACGCGUGAGUAACCUGCCUUUCAGAGGGGGAUAACGUUUCGAAAGGAACGCUAAUACCGCAUAACGUAUUUUUACCGCAUGAUAGAGAUACCAAAGAUUUAUCGCUGAAAGAUGGACUCGCGUCUGAUUAGCUAGUUGGUGAGGUAACGGCUCACCAAGUCGACGAUCAGUAGCCGGACUGAGAGGUUGAACGGCCACAUUGGGACUGAGACACGGCCCAGACUCCUACGGGAGGCAGCAGUGGGGAAUAUUGCACAAUGGGCGAAAGCCUGAUGCAGCAACGCCGCGUGAGGGAAGACGGUUUUCGGAUUGUAAACCUCUGUCUUUGGUGAAGAUAAUGACGGUAGCCAAGGAGGAAGCCACGGCUAACUACGUG
rnacentral:rRNA from 1 species